rnacentral:rRNA from 1 species
UUUGAUUAUAAUUUAAAGUCUGACCUGCCCUAUGAAUUAUAUUUUUAAAUGGCUGCGGUAAUUUGACCGUGCAAAGGUAGCAUAAUAAUUAGUUUUUUAAUUGGGAACUGGUAUGAAUGGUCGAACGAGAAAAAGACUGUCUCAAUUUAAUUUAAAUUAGAAUUUUAUUUUUAAGUUAAAAAGCUUAAAUUUUCUUAAAAGACGAGAAGACCCUAUAGAGUUUUAUAUACAUUUUUAUAUAUAAAAGUUAAAGUAUUAUAGAUUUAUUUAUUUAAGUUUAUAUUUGGUUGGGGUGAUUGAAAAAUUGAAUUAACUUUUUUUAUAUAAGACCAUUGAUAUAUGAGUAAAUGAUCCAUAUUUUAUGAUUAAAAGAUUAAAUUACCUUAGGGAUAACAGCGUAAUUUUUUUUUAGAGUUCUAAUCGAAAAAGAAGUUU